rnacentral:rRNA from 1 species
GUAGGGAAUAUUGGACAAUGGGCGAAAGCCUGAUCCAGCCAUGUCGCGUGAUAGAUGAAGGCCCUCUGGGUUGUAAAUAUCUUUUAUCUGGGAAGAAACUCCUCUAUUCUUAGAGGCCUGACGGUACCAGAGGAAUAAGCACCGGCUAACUCCGUGCCAGCAGCCGCGGUAAUACGGAGGGUGCAAGCGUUAUCCGGAUUCACUGGGUUUAAAGGGUGCGUAGGCGGGUUGAUAAGUCAGUGGUGAAAGCUACGGGCUUAACUUGGAAACUGCCAUUGAUACUGUCAGGCUUGAAUGUCGUAGAGGUAAGCGGAAUGUUGCAUGUAGCGGUGAAAUGCUUAGAUAUGUUACAGAACACCAAUUGCGAAGGCAGCUUACUAUGCGAUAAUUGACGCUGAGGCACGAAAGCGUGGGGAGCAAACAGGAUUAGAAACCCGAGUAGUCC